rnacentral:rRNA from 1 species
AUGCAGGGUGGCACCACUGAAAAGGCCAUCCUGCAGUACCAUCAAAAGCACUAUGAUUUGGCCUUCUUCAGUGUUAGAAUGGAUCGGCCGGUUCAUAUACUCUCUUUCAAUGAUGGUGUGAAGCGUUCUGACCAAGUUUUUGAGCUUGGAAGAGAUGAAAGGUCAUUUCUAAGGAUAAGCCAUGGUGUGGUGAAAUUAUUGAAUCCAAAUCUGCUUGAACGGUAUCACUAUAUGCAUGUUCACAGUGCAGAUCCACGUCCCAAGUAUGGCUUAGGAGGGCCACUCAUUGACUUUGGUGGAAAAAUCGUGGGAAUGGUCAAUGGCAAUACAAUAGGAUCUUUUAUACCGUCUCCCAUUUUAGUCAAGUGCUUGCAUUUGUGGAGAAAAUUUCGGUAUGUUCUUGUUUACUUCUGUUUUUAG